rnacentral:rRNA from 1 species
UAGGGAAUCUUCGGCAAUGGACGAAAGUCUGACCGAGCAACGCCGCGUGAGUGAAGAAGGUUUUCGGAUCGUAAAGCUCUGUUGUAAGAGAAGAACGAGUGUGAGAGUGGAAAGUUCACACUGUGACGGUAUCUUACCAGAAAGGGACGGCUAACUACGUGCCAGCAGCCGCGGUAAUACGUAGGUCCCGAGCGUUGUCCGGAUUUAUUGGGCGUAAAGCGAGCGCAGGCGGUUAGAUAAGUCUGAAGUUAAAGGCUGUGGCUUAACCAUAGUACGCUUUGGAAACUGUUUAACUUGAGUGCAAGAGGGGAGAGUGGAAUUCCAUGUGUAGCGGUGAAAUGCGUAGAUAUAUGGAGGAACACCGGUGGCGAAAGCGGCUCUCUGGCUUGUAACUGACGCUGAGGCUCGAAAGCGUGGGGAGCAAACAGGAUUAGAUACCCUGGUAGUCCACGCCGUAAACGAUGAGUGCUAGGUGUUAGACCCUUUCCGGGGUUUAGUGCCGUAGCUAACGCAUUAAGCACUCCGCCUGGGGAGUACGACCGCAAGGUUG